GAGAACUUUCUAUUUCAUUCUUGAAUGUCAACCUACAUUUUGUGAAGUUCCUCUAAACCUCCGCGUAUUUUCGCUGCUUUUAAGAGAAUUCUUUAAUCGUCUUAAAGUAUUCUCCUUCCUGAAAUUAUUCUUGAUGUCUUCGUUCUUGCAUUUGUAAAGAUCAUAGAGACAUCUGAAAAUAAAAUAAUUGUCAAACAUGACAGAGAAAAAAAAUCAACUUUACGUACGAUCAUGUUAAUGAUAAGAACGUAUUGAGUCCACCUACCUGUAUAAUGAAGAAUGACCCACAGAAUCGAGUGUUUUUUUAUUAAAAAGAUCUUGCACAAAUGGAUCCAAACCAAGAAUUGAUUGAAGAAUCGAGUUCAUGUAACAAGUAUUUCCAAGAUUCGUGAAACUGAAAUUGUUAAACAUAAAGGCUUCAUAUCAGUACAGAAACUGAAGGCCUCAAGAACACGAGUGACGUUUAGAAACUAACCCUCGUGACGUCACUUCAUCCUCAUCUGAAAGAAGAGUUACCGCUGUACAAUGAUGAAUGGAAAGACGGUGAUGCCGACUGGGUCGAAGGACUGAAGUGUGAAGACUUUCUUUUCAAUGGCUUCCUCGUGUUUAAUGUUGGCUCAGAGCUAAAAGUGAAGGAAGAUUGUUAGUUUAUUUUUGAAAAUAUAUAACUCAUGAAAUAUAUGUCAUUUAUUCAACGAUAUACGCACAGAAACAAAAAGAUUGUGAGCAAGAAAGGAGGAAACGUGUGAAGACAGGGUAAAUAGGGUGAAGGAAGGUCACAGGUGUUUUAUGUGAUGAAAGACAAUCAGCAAAAGUGAACAGAAAUGUUUACACAACAGUAGCGGGAUUCAGAUAUUACAUGGUUUAAAGAGAGUAACAAUGAAAAACAAACAGAAGGCAGACCUGAAUAUUGCAGAAAUGAAGAUGUUGAGCCAGUUGAGGUUCUCUUGAGAAGUGACACGAUUAGACAGAAUAAAGAAUGAAGAUAUAAAAAAUAUUAAAUGCUUUAGAAACUAAAGUAUAGAAACAACUCUACAAUGAAAUGGAGAUGUUUAACGAAGGGAUAGUGAUGGCUGAUUAAGAAAUAGACCAAACAGUCAGAGAAACUGAAAGAGAACAUGAAAUAAGGGAAUUUGCAACAAUAGCAAACAGUAAAUAGAAAAACAUGGACACGAUUGAUUUGGUGAGGCCACUCCUGACAGAAAAAUCCAUAAAAACAAGUAAGACAAAGAGACAGAGAUUUGUACAUUUUUUACACGAUUUGAUGACGAACAGUGACGCAACAUGAAAACGUGUUAAACUUGGCAAUAAAUUUUGAUGAAAAUAGGAGCAAAAUCAACAAAAACAGUGGAACACUUACAUUUCACGUUUAUUGCCAUAGAAAAAACGAUCAGAUUUCGAGUAACCUUGGAAAGAAAAAAUACACUUAAAGUUUAAUCCAUGUACAACGGAUCAAAACUCUUAGCUAAAUUGCGCAUUUUUUAGACCCCAGGUCAAACUAUAGCAGACCAAUCCUGCACUUUAAGUAUGUUCUACGUAUAUUUCUAUAAAACGAUAAAAGACACCAUCCAUUUGAUGAGGAAAGAUUUCAUACUUUGAAUGCUGUCCUUGCUUUUAGUUGGUUUUCCUGGGGAUGCAAAUAUUUCACACCAAUCAUCAACUUGGAUACCACUUGGAGAUUCCAUUUUACUUGAUGAAGCAAAGAUAUCAAUGUUUUCUUUCUCCAACUCUCGCUGUUAAUAACAUAAAAUAUACUUUGGUCAACAAUUAACAAAGAAAACAUCAUAAAUAGAACAUUCAAAAAGUAUAGCUUCAUUUUUAUAUACUUGAUAAGAAGAACUAUGAAAAUAUUAUUCAACUCCAACUAAACUUGCUUUCUUUCGAAAGAUUUCAAAAGUUGUGCAUGCUCAAGUAACUUUACUCCAGCAAACAUUACAAAAAUCCUCCAUAA